rnacentral:rRNA from 1 species
GGGUUGUGAGGUUAAGCGACUAAGCGUACACGGUGGAUGCCCUGGCAGUCAGAGGCGAUGAAGGACGUGCUAAUCUGCGAAAAGCGUCGGUAAGGUGAUAUGAACCGUUAUAGCCGGCGAUGUCCGAAUGGGGAAACCCAGUGCAAUUCGUUGCACUAUCGUUAACUGAAUACAUAGGUUAACGAGGCGAACCGGGGGAACUGAAACAUCUAAGUACCCCGAGGAAAAGAAAUCAACCGAGAUUCCCCCAGUAGCGGCGAGCGAACGGGGAGCAGCCCAGAGUCUGAAUCAGCUUGUGUGUUAGUGGAACGGUCUGGAAAGUCCGACGGUACAGGGUGAUAGUCCCGUACACCAAAAUGCACAGGCUGUGAACUCGAAGAGUAGGGCGGGACACGUGGUAUCCUGUCUGAAUAUGGGGGGACCAUCCUCCAAGGCUAAAUACUCCUGACUGACCGAUAGUGAACCAGUACCGUGAGGGAAAGGCGAAAAGAACCCGGCGAGGGGAGUGAAAAAGAACCUGAAACCGUGUACGUACAAGCAGUGGGAGCACCUUCGGGUGUGACUGCGUACCUUUUGUAUAAUGGGUCAGCGACUUAUAUUCUGUAGCAAGGUUAACCGUAUAGGGGAGCCGCAGGGAAACCGAGUCUUAACUGGGCGUUAAGUUGCAGGGUAUAGACCCGAAACCCGGUGAUCUAGCCAUGGGCAGGUUGAAGGUUGGGUAACACUAACUGGAGGACCGAACCGACUAAUGUUGAAAAAUUAGCGGAUGACUUGUGGCUGGGGGUGAAAGGCCAAUCAAACCGGGAGAUAGCUGGUUCUCCCCGAAAGCUAUUUAGGUAGCGCCUCGUGAAUUCAUCUUCGGGGGUAGAGCACUGUUUCGGCUAGGGGGUCAUCCCGACUUACCAACCCGAUGCAAACUACGAAUACCGAAGAAUGUUAUCACGGGAGACACACGGCGGGUGCUAACGUCCGUCGUGAAGAGGGAAACAACCCAGACCGCCAGCUAAGGUCCCAAAGUCAUGGUUAAGUGGGAAACGAUGUGGGAAGGCACAGACAGCCAGGAUGUUGGCUUAGAAGCAGCCAUCAUUUAAAGAAAGCGUAAUAGCUCACUGGUCGAGUCGGCCUGCGCGGAAGAUGUAACGGGGCUAAACCAUGCACCGAAGCUGCGGCAGCGACACUAUGUGUUGUUGGGUAGGGGAGCGUUCUGUAAGCCUGCGAAGGUGUGCUGUGAGGCAUGCUGGAGGUAUCAGAAGUGCGAAUGCUGACAUAAGUAACGAUAAAGCGGGUGAAAAGCCCGCUCGCCGGAAGACCAAGGGUUCCUGUCCAACGUUAAUCGGGGCAGGGUGAGUCGACCCCUAAGGCGAGGCCGAAAGGCGUAGUCGAUGGGAAACAGGUUAAUAUUCCUGUACUUGGUGUUACUGCGAAGGGGGGACGGAGAAGGCUAUGUUAGCCGGGCGACGGUUGUCCCGGUUUAAGCAUGUAGGCUGGUUAUCCAGGCAAAUCCGGAUAAUCAAGGCUGAGGUGUGAUGACGAGGCACUACGGUGCUGAAGUAACAAAUGCCCUGCUUCCAGGAAAAGCCUCUAAGCAUCAGGUAACAUCAAAUCGUACCCCAAACCGACACAGGUGGUCAGGUAGAGAAUACCAAGGCGCUUGAGAGAACUCGGGUGAAGGAACUAGGCAAAAUGGUGCCGUAACUUCGGGAGAAGGCACGCUGGUGUGUAGGUGAAGCCCCUGCGGGUGGAGCUGAGACCAGUCGAAGAUACCAGCUGGCUGCAACUGUUUAUUAAAAACACAGCACUGUGCAAACACGAAAGUGGACGUAUACGGUGUGACGCCUGCCCGGUGCCGGAAGGUUAAUUGAUGGGGUUAUCCGUAAGGAGAAGCUCUUGAUCGAAGCCCCGGUAAACGGCGGCCGUAACUAUAACGGUCCUAAGGUAGCGAAAUUCCUUGUCGGGUAAGUUCCGACCUGCACGAAUGGCGUAAUGAUGGCCAGGCUGUCUCCACCCGAGACUCAGUGAAAUUGAACUCGCUGUGAAGAUGCAGUGUACCCGCGGCAAGACGGAAAGACCCCGUGAACCUUUACUAUAGCUUGACACUGAACAUUGAGCCUUGAUGUGUAGGAUAGGUGGGAGGCUUUGAAGCGUGGACGCCAGUCUGCGUGGAGCCAACCUUGAAAUACCACCCUUUAAUGUUUGAUGUUCUAACGUUGGCCCCUGACCGGGGUUGCGGACAGUGUCUGGUGGGUAGUUUGACUGGGGCGGUCUCCUCCCAAAGCGUAACGGAGGAGCACGAAGGUUAGCUAAUCCUGGUCGGACAUCAGGAGGUUAGUGCAAUGGCAUAAGCUAGCUUGACUGCGAGCGUGACGGCGCGAGCAGGUGCGAAAGCAGGUCAUAGUGAUCCGGUGGUUCUGAAUGGAAGGGCCAUCGCUCAACGGAUAAAAGGUACUCCGGGGAUAACAGGCUGAUACCGCCCAAGAGUUCAUAUCGACGGCGGUGUUUGGCACCUCGAUGUCGGCUCAUCACAUCCUGGGCUGAAGUAGGUCCCAAGGGUAUGGCUGUUCGCCAUUUAAAGUGGUACGCGAGCUGGGUUUAGAACGUCGUGAGACAGUUCGGUCCCUAUCUGCCGUGGGCGCUGGAGAAUUGAGGGGGCUGCUCCUAGUACGAGAGGACCGGAGUGGACGCAUCACUGGUGUUCGGGUUGUCAUGCCAAUGGCACUGCCCGGUAGCUAAAUGCGGAAGAGAUAAGUGCUGAAAGCAUCUAAGCACGAAACUUGCCCCGAGAUGAGUUCUCCCUGAGACUUUAAGUCUCCUGAAGGAACGUUAAAGACGAUGACGUUGAUAGGCCGGGUGUGUAAGCGCAGCGAUGCGUUGAGCUAACCGGUACUAAUGAACCGUGAGGCUUAACCUUACAACGCCGAAG